UGGCUCAGAUGGUAAAGCAUCUGCCUGUAAUGCAGGAGACCAGGGUUUGAUCCCUG
rnacentral:tRNA from 1 species